rnacentral:pre_miRNA from 1 species
GAAAGCCCCUAUUUCAUGUUCAGAUCAGUAGAUAGCAUGUAGUUUGCUUGUGGUAAUGGUACCUUGAUCAGACUACUUGCUAUCUACGGAUCUGCACAGGUUUUU